rnacentral:lncRNA from 1 species
UGUUUUCCUGUUGCUGUCAUAUGCCCUCUCCUUCCCAUUUGGCUUGGCUCUCUGUCUUCUCUUGCAUCUAUUCAAGUUCAUCAAACUGCAGUUAUCAAAUGAGAACAAAUGUUCAUCAAACUCCAGUUAUGCGCUGGGUGCUGGAGGUAGCAUGACUAAUAGCACUGUCCCAUCCUUGGGGGGCUGCUUUCCUCUUGGGGGGGCAGAGAAGGACUUAGGAUAACUGUAAAGAGUGAUGAGCAGGGGCCUCUGGGAAGCUACAGGAGGACAGUAGAGGCAGGAUUAGGUCUGCUUGGCUGUGGUUGGGCUGAUGAUCUAUUUGGUGAAGACCCUGUUUUUGCCGGCAGUUCAGGGGGUCUCACAUCUGGCUGCACAGUAGAGUUACCAGGGGAGCUUUGGAAAAUACUAAUUUUCAUUCAUUUGGUCGGGGGUGGGGCCUGAGCAUCUGUAUUUAUGUAAAGUUCCCCAAGUACUUUUGAUAUGCAGCCGAACUGGAGAACCUCUGUAGUUGACAGAUGGCUGGAUAGCUCUGUGUGUGCAGCAAGUCCUCUUGUGGUACUAUUUAGAGAUGUGUAACUUAACCUAUAAUCUUUUAUUUGGCUGUAACUUAUAACACUUUAGCUUUCAGCUUCUCUCUCUCUCUCUUUUGUGGGGGCUAUGCCUGCUGCAUGUGGAAAUUCCUGGGUCAGGGAUGGAGCCCGAGCCCGAGCAGCGACCCCGAGCAGCGACCCCAGCCAUUGCAAUUCGGGUGUAGUAGGUGUGGGGUGCGGCCUGAGAUUCAGCGUUUCCAACAAGCUCCCAGUGUUACCAGUGCUGCAGUCAGAGGACCACACUCUGAGUAGCCGGGGUCUAUGCUGUAGUGUGUUUGGAACGUAAUUAGUACUUGUAAACAGAUGAGUGAGGGUUCAGCCUAGCCCGCUAAAGUUCUAUGCUGUUAAGCAUUUUAUAGAUUUCUUUUAAUUGAAUUUACAUUCUCCAAUUUGAUUAUUCAAAUUUAAGAACAUUAGAUUUUUCUUAAGAAUCACACACUUCCCUGAUUAAAGUUUAAAAAGGGCUGUUUUUAUUGAUUUCUGCAGUCCAUAGUAUUGAAGUGCAGGCUGUUUGGAGAUUUGUGAAUGUACAGAUUUGACCUAGUGUGAAGUUUAUUAAUAAACAAAGGAAGUUAAAUAAUUGGUCUUGUGUAUAAAGUUUCUUCAAAUAGUUAUUGCAGAUUCUUGUAUUGUUUUCAAUUUUAAUGGUGUCAGAAUUCCUGGCCAAUUGUCCCUAUUGUCCAAAUACUCCAGGCAAAGUUUUUUUUAAUAAUUGGAUAUAAAGACAGCAAAUAAUUAGAAUGACUUGGUGUAAUGUUUUUAAAACACCAUUUAAUUAAUAAUUAAAACCAUUACUUGCUCCUUGUAGAAAACUGGAAAAUAGGAAAAAACACAAAGAAGACAGUAAAAGCAUGUUAACUCCUUUGCUCAUAAGAACUGCUUUGGUUUGGUUAUAUGCUUCCUCACUCAGCAGUAGCAAAAUGGCAUUCCAUGUCUUUAUGGAUUUUUUAACAUUGGUUUCCACGGUGUCAAAGUUUCUUGGGAAUAUGCAGUAAUUCCUUUAGCAAGGCCUUUUGAAAUUUAACCUGUUUCCAGUUUUUCAUGAUUCUUCGUAAAGCUGUGGUGAAGAGUAUUAAAAUUUUGCACACUUCCCUACUUCUGUGAGAGAAAUUCCUAGACUUGGAAUUGCUGGGUUAAAGGGUUCAUUCAUUUAAAAAAUGCUUUUAUUUAUUUUUAUUUUAUUUUUUUUAAUGCUUUUAGAGAAAGACAAAUAGCAUAUGAUAUCACUUAUAUCUGGAAUCUACUAUACGGCACAAAUGAACCUGUCCACAGAAAAGAAACUCAUGGACUUGGAGAACAGACUUGUGGUUGCCAAGGGGGAGAGGGAGGGAGUGGGAUGGACUAGGGGUCUGGGGUUAGUAGAUGCAAACUAUUGCAUUUGGAGUGGAUAAACAGUGAGAUCCUGCUGUAUGGUCUAGUCACUUGUGAUGGAGCAUGAUGGAGAAUAAUGUGAGAAAAAGAAUGUACAUAUAUAUACUUGUGUGUGUAUGUGUAUAGCUGGGUCCCUUUGUUGUACAGUAAAAAUUGACAGAACGCUAUAAAGCAACUCUAAUGGAAAAAAUAAAAAUCAUUAAAAAUAAAUAAAUAAACUAUACCUGCUCAGAGCAGGUACAGUUCCCAUUAAAAAAAAAUAAAAAA